rfam:Homo sapiens chromosome 5, GRCh38 reference primary assembly.
AGAUGUGAAGUGAUUUGGCUACAACACUAACCCCUUGUUCAUUUCCAGGAUAUAUUCAACUGGUCUGGCUGGUGAGGUAGAUGUUACCAUCCUUCUCAUUUCUCUUUGCUUCAACUUAAAUUUUACAUUCAGGAUAAGACAUUUAGUGUGCCUCUUUUGGGACUGAUGAAGAUCC